rnacentral:rRNA from 1 species
AGUGAACGCUGGCGGUAGGCCUAACACAUGCAAGUCGAACGGCAGCACAGUAAGAGCUUGCUCUUACGGGUGGCGAGUGGCGGACGGGUGAGGAUUACAUCGGAAUCUACUUUUUCGUGGGGGAUAACGUAGGGAAACUUACGCUAAUACCGCAUACGACCUACGGGUGAAAGCAGGGGAUCUUCGGACCUUGCGCGAUUGAAUGAGCCGAUGUCGGAUUAGCUAGUUGGCGGGGUAAAGGCCCACCAAGGCGACGAUCCGUAGCUGGUCUGAGAGGAUGAUCGGCCAAACUGGACCUGAGACACGGUCCAGCCUCCUACGGGAGGCAGCAGUGGGGAAUAUUGAACAAUGGGCGCAAGCCUGAUCCAGCCAUACCGCGUGGGUGAAGAAGGCCGUCGGGUUGUAAAGCCCUUUUGUUGGGAAAGAAAAGCAGCAGGUUAAUACCCCGCUGUUCUGACGGUACCCAAAGAAUAAGCACCGGCUACUUCGUG